AGAGGCCACCAAAGUUGGGUACAUUUUGUUAGCAAACACCCUUUUAUCAUCUUUUGUACUUGAUGAUUAGUGAUGUAAAGAAAAGAAUGUAAAGCUCAUUUUGAGAUAAAUGUGAUGUAAGAAAGAAAUGAUGGAAUUUAUGUAAUGAAAUGCAAGGAAUUCUAAAUGUAAGAAAUGGAUGCAAUGUAUAUGAUCUAAAAUGAAUCAUACUACUUGUGUAGAUGUUUAGUUUU
rnacentral:lncRNA from 1 species